GCGCCGUAGCUAACGCAUUAAGUGCCCCGCCUGGGGAGUACGGCCGCAAGGCUAAAACUCAAAGGAAUUGACGGGGGCCCGCACAAGCGGCGGAGCAUGCGGAUUAAUUCGAUGCAACGCGAAGAACCUUACCAAGGCUUGACAUGGGCCGGAUCGCCGCAGAAAUGCGGUUUCCCUUCGGGGCCGGUUCACAGGUGGUGCAUGGUUGUCGUCAGCUCGUGUCGUGAGAUGUUGGGUUAAGUCCCGCAACGAGCGCAACCCUCGUUCUAUGUUGCCAGCGGUUCGGCCGGGGACUCAUAGGAGACUGCCGGGGUCAACUCGGAGGAAGGUGGGGACGACGUCAAAUCAUCAUGCCCCUUAUGUCUUGGGCUUCACGCAUGCUACAAUGGCCGGUACAAAGGGUUGCGAUACUGUGAGGUGGAGCUAAUCCCAAAAAGCCGGUCUCAGUUCGGAUUGAGGUCUGCAACUCGACCUCAUGAAGUCGGAGUCGCUAGUAAUCGCAGAUCAGCAACGCUGCGGUGAAUACGUUCCCGGGCCUUGUACACACCGCCCGUCAAGUCACGAAAGUUGGUAACACCCGAAGCCGGUGGCCUAACCCUUUGGGAGGGAGCCGUCGAAGGUGGACCGCGAGUUCC
rnacentral:rRNA from 1 species